UCCGAUUUUUAUUACUUUAGUUUCAUACGUUGAUUUUUCUUUAAGUAACCUGUCAAUAAAAUGAGAAUUAAUCAUAGAUAAUCUUAUGAAGUUGAUCGCAUUUGGCCGAUUACUUCAAUCAGUUCCAGAACGACAGUUAACGUAUCCGAACAAUCAGAUCAGAGUUAACCCGAUCAUAAUUUUCGAAUAUAUCUUAUAAUAUAGUGGUUUGUGGUUGAUAACCUCGUGAAGCUUAAAUUCAUUAUGUGAAUCUAGAGGUUGAAUUAAUCUACCUGCACCCCCGUUGGUAAAACUGUAAACAGUAGAAUGAGUAACUUCAUCCCGUACACCCCUAGGAAUACACAAAAGUGUUUCAAAUAUGCUGCAAACAGUCUUCUGGAGAGUAGAAACCAUUUGGAUUCCACUAGAGCUACCCGAUAGAGAGCUGUGAUGAAAUUUUUAAAUAUUCCCUCCCCAAUUAAUACCAGGAUCUAACAUACUUUCCGUUCUACAAAAUUAUGGGGAAUAAAAUUGAUUCGAGUAGGUCCUUAAGCCGCCGAAAAAAAAUGAAAUUUAUCACAUUACGAUGUAAAAUCAUCUAACAAAACGGCAUCCUAACCUCAAUUUCAUUACUUGGGAAGUUUUGGAAAACUGGUGAUACAAUUUUUUACCUCAUUACACAUUAUUAUGUAUUCGGUAAGUUUCUAACCUAUUUUAGAACGAAAUUCAAAUCCUAUAUACAUAUUGGAGAGAUUUGGGACAAUUCGUAUGGGAAGUGUGCGGAAAAACCAUUAAUUUAACAUAAGAAUUGAAAAAGACUGUUCAUUGACCGAUAUAUCCUCAUUUAUAUGAAUAUUUCAGAUAUCUAGAAUAAAAAUUACUGUUUAAUUCCAGUAUAAGUGACAGUUAAACAUCCGAACGCCAUCUAACGUCGCCUGUCAUCAUUUAAUGUAAUGAAAACUGUAAAACAUUGCAGUUGGCUCCAUCUAUUAUUACGUAGCUAUGAAUUAUUUGUGAAUAAGUUUCUACAAUGUUGUAGAAAGGUUGCAAAAGUAUAUGGAGGUCUAAAGUGGGCGUUUAGUUGAAAAUUGGCGACUAUCCAAUCCCAAUUUAAAGAAAAAUGUCUAAUUUUUUCCUCAUCAAAAUCUAAUAAAUUUGAUUUUGAAUCGGUGCCGAAAGUACCUCUUCGAAAUUGAUUAUAAAAUUUUAAAUUUUCGAAGAAAUUCGUUGUUUUAACAGCUGGAGGAAUUGGAAAUAUUUUCUUUCAAAUAUUUGAUAUACAACAAAUUUUUUUUAGUCGCUUUAGCUGCACAGUUUCAUCAUGUUAUCGAAAAUCCAAAUACAAGACACAAGACGUUGUAAAUUUUAGAAUUUUUUUUACAAAAUCUUGUUUCCGACAGGAACUGGCAGUGCAUCAAAAUAUAAAUUUUAGAGUCAAGGUACCGAUAGACAUCUAGAAUUCACCAAGGAUGGAAGGGAUCGUGUUUGAAGCAUUUAGAGUGAUGACAUGGUUAAAAAAGUUGAUAAAAAUAAUACAUAAUCGGCGAUUUAGCCCGGGAAAAGAAUGAAAAUAAAAUUUUUUAAUGAAAAAACUACAAUUUUUCGCAAUUUAAUGGUUUUUUUUCACUAAAGUUGUACCAGUUUUCAUAUUGCUGAAUUUUUUCCUUGAAUUUUACGUUUUUUUUUAUAAAAUUUUUAGGUUAUGUAAAAAAUCAAUAUUCACACGACAAAGUUCUAUUAAAAGUGGAAAUAUCUCUUUGCGGAGCUUUAAAAAAAGCUUUUUCACUUUUUAGAUAUACAAAAAGCUACGAGGGAGACAUUAUAGAGAAAAAAGACCAAGAAAUGAGGAACCUGUAGAACGAACAAGUAAAAAUCCAACAGACCGCAACGAAAAUUACUGACAAAAACAUGGAAAAAUAAGAAGACCUAUAAAGAGAUGGUAUCCUGGUACACAAGAAGAUCUAAUGGUGACAGGAAUUCAAAACUGGAAGGCCACGACAAAAAAAUCAAAAA